CAGAAGGUCAGUCCCAGCGUCACGCUGCCUGCGUCAUUCCCUCUCUUUAUCUCCUCACGUAGGCGUUUGAUCGUCUCACAUCAUCUCAAGAAGAAUGUGUAACCACAUAGCCAGCUGGGGACUUAGGAAAUAUGGAAUCUUGUGACUCUAGUAAAAAUACAAGACCAGGAAUCUUGUGAUUCUAUACUUUUAUGGAAAGAACUUGAUUUGGAAGACUGGACUCUAAUUUCCUGUUUGCCCUAAAUCCUAAAAUCGUAAGUA